rnacentral:lncRNA from 1 species
GAAUAUUUCACAACUGUUACUUUCCCCUUGUCCCUGCCAGAGCCACAAGGAGAUCUUUCUUGGCUCUUCACCAUGAGAACCUGACAGGGUUCCUGGAGAUAAAAACUCACAAAAGCGUGUGGGGACCCCAAAAGAUUGCAGCUCCUGGGAGUUUAUCACUCUCCUACUAGUCCACACUCAGCCUCUAGCAAUUCAUCAAAAUUGCCAUUUAAGUAAUCCUACCCGUUUAUGGCUCCAGUGUCUUCUGCUCCAGGACCCCAGAAUCAGACUGUAUUUGGAGAUAAAGUCUUUAAAGAAGUAAUUAAAGUUAAAUGAAGUCAUCAAGGUGGGCCCAGAUCCAAUAUGACUGGUGUCCUUAUGAGAACAGGAGAUUAGGACAUGGACGCACAAAGAGGGAAGACCAUGUGAAGACACAAGAUGGCCAUCAGAAGCUGAGGAGAGAGACCUCAGAAGAAGCCAACACUGCUGACACCUGAUCUUGGACUUCCAGCCUCCAGAACUGUCUGCAUGCCCAGGGUGACCUUGGAAGCCAUGUGUUGAAGAUGGCAGAGCUUUCAUCAGCUUGGGCCUCGGAAUGACUGCAUGGAGCAGAACAUGCCCCUCUCCCCCUCCUGCUGAGAAGGAAAUACACAGUGGACUCUAUGAAAUAAACUUUUAUCAUGUUACAGCACUUGAAUGUUGUUGUUUACUUAUUACGGCAGUUGGCAUUGCCUUAACUAAUUCAUGCCCUGAAGUAGUGAUGCCAACUCUGGGAGAGAUGAAAGAGUCAGAGAUGCUAAACAAGACAAAAUACCUCAAUCCAGGUAACAUCAAGAAAUCCGGUGAACAAAGUAGUAUGUCUGAGAGGAUAGUUUUUAGACUUUUAUUUAAGAAUUCCAAACUUUGAACUGCAAUUCGCAAGGUAAAGAAAAUUUGAUUUUGCAUUUUAAUUUCUUUGACUUUAACUUUAAAGAGGAGUUAAUCUUGAGCUUUAAAUUCUCACUGGGAUGUUGACAAUAGGAAAAGCUUUAUAUUAAAAUUGGGGAAUUUCUAUGUUGUUGGUAAUUUAUUAUUGGAGUGUAUUUUGUUCUAAUAUUUAGUCU